UUCCUGGUAAGCCCCACCCAAGAACAUCCCCAAAUAGUACCGCCCAUUAGCACCACCACUGCUACCACCACCAUUACCUUCCAACCCAUGUAAAGGCAAGCUUGUUUCACCUCCGAUGAACUUAUCAAUCUUCCCAUCACUGUCACAGGUUAAAUCAGACAAAAUCCCCCUCACUUCAGGCCUUUCAUCCAAUCGAUGAAUGGGGACUAUGGGAAAAAUCUGACCAAUACUCCAAAAAUCAGGGAUCGAAGUGAAAAUCGAAAGAUUAACAUGGUAUGUCCUAGCAGGUUCAGAUGCAUCAACCACUUUAGAAACUAAGUCGCAUAACCCAUCAACAGCGGCAAGCUGUUCAAUCCCCAAAGUCCCUUCUUUGAACUGUUCCACACAUCU
rnacentral:lncRNA from 1 species